UUUGUAUUCCCUCUGUUUGGAAUUAUUUGUCUUGGAAAUGGAUGUAUCUAGAACUAAAAUACGUCUAGAUACAUCCAUUUCUUUGACAAGUAAUUUCGAACGGAGGGAGUAUGUG
rfam:Triticum urartu cultivar G1812 contig41395, whole genome shotgun sequence.